CACCCUCUGCGGUGUACGCCAGGGAGCCGGGUAUUUUCUUGAGCCUAAUUGAUACCCCGGGAGCAUGAUGUGGAGCCGGUGCGCAUAUCCGCCCCGAGCGGGGAGCCUGAAGCGACACGGUUGUUCCCACUUGAACCAACCGGUUCAAGAACGAUGGUGAGCAGCGGCACGGGUGGAGGGUGU
rfam:Gammaproteobacteria bacterium LTC14_002_19_P1 _70, whole genome shotgun sequence.